CUGCACUGAUUGCACCUACCGAUUUUGAUGAAGUGUUUACUCACCUCCCCUCAACCUUUCCUGGAAUAGCUACAUUUAAUAGCGCAAGGUCACAAAGUCUGAGAAGAAAAUCAUACGAGAACUUCAGCCUGAACCAUGUCACUCCGGGUAAUCUGGAUACUAAGAACCAAACAAAAUGCACUGACUAAAAGCAGCGUGGAGUUCCUCGGGUUUAUUUGGCCUCUGCCCGCUCUCAGAGACACGUGAGUUUGCAGUGAUUGACUGCAGUUUCAUAUUAACGGAACAGCUUGGAGACAGAAAUCAUCCUCAGGCCUUAAUCGCAGGGAAAUCAGAAAAACAACUUCCUCUAAAGCUAUUUACAGGGUGGCAGAUGUGAAGGUAUGUCUUGGAUUGGACACAGCAUAACGAACAACUUUUUGAAAUAAGCUCAAUUUAGAAUGAACAGAAUUCGCAUUAUGGACUAAAAAGUGUUCUUCGUCAAUAAAGACUUUGGAUUCUUGUCAGGACGUUCCCAGGAUUAGAGUGACACUUGUCUACAUUCAAAGAUGCCUUAGAAGAAACUCAGCAGGCAACCACCUUUGAUAGGAGCUGCUGUAAUUCACCUGACCAUUGAGAACCUGGAAAUCCUGCAAUCCACAGCCACGCUUCUUGAGCACAACUUCUUGUUUCCGAGGCAAGAAAAUGUUUUCUUCCCUACCAUAGCCUCACUGGAUGCCCAAACUGGGGGUCCUUGAUGACACACUUUUCUAAUUUUCCUGAUUGUAUUUGAAGCAGUUUCAAUAGUGGCAUAUAAUCGCAACUUUCCUACUCGUUGGGACAUCGUAGGCAAGUUUUUCUUU